AAUGUAGGCUGUUAUGUAAGUCAGUGGUGAAAUCCCUCGGCUCAACCGGGGAACUGCCUUUGAUACUGCAUAACUUGAGGACAGGAGAGGAAAGUGGAAUUCCCGGUGUAGCGGUGGAAUGCGUAGAUAUUGGGAGGAACACCAGAGGCGAAGGCGGCUUUCUGGACUGAUCCUGACGCUGAGAUUCGAAAGCUAGGGUAGCAAACA
rnacentral:rRNA from 1 species